rnacentral:misc_RNA from 1 species
UGUCCAUGAAAAUUUGGUGACCCAGAAUUUGGGAUUAUUAGUUCUUGAUUCCACAUAUUUGAAUCAGCUCGUCAUUAGAUUCUGCAUAUAAAUUCUCUUCUUUGAUCCCAAAAACUUGAGUACUCGACUUCCACCAUGAAAGAGAAGUUUUCCCAAGCUUGCCCCAUUUUUUCAUUUCGUCUUGUCUGAUGGCUUCUGCCUAUGCGUCCUUGAAAUCAUUGCGUUUGUAGCCUGC